GCCGGUCUCACAGCCAGUCUGGAGCUCGAGUCCCUCGCUGGGAGCAGGCUGUCCCUCCCCCAGCAGCCUGGGGCCGCAUGUGCUCCUGGUUUGCGCCGAGACAGCGGGCACGGCUCCCAGCUGCGCUCGGCUGCCAGAGGGGCCGGUCGUCCCCAGUGGGUCUGGCCGCCACCCACGAGCCCCGUCCCCGGCUGGCAGGGGCAGCCUCUCCUGGCGGCCCCCGCUCCCUGCAGCUGGCGCCCCCGCCCUCGGUCAGCCCAGUUUCCUGCCCCUCCCUCCUCUCGCCUCCUUCCAGCUGUUUCUCUGGCUGAGUGCUGUCCCCGUUGCACUCAGGGCAGCAGCCCCAGCAGUGAGCGGGGAGCUCGGGGCAGAGCGGGCUCCCUGGGAAGGCUGCCACGGGACAAGCGUGUUCCAGGGGCUGUGCCACCCGGGGGCCUCCGGGGGGGUCUUGAAUGAAUGAAUGAAUGAAUGAAUGAAUGAACAAACUGCUCUCUGGGACAACAGCUGCAGCCAGAGGAACCGUGUGCUUGGGAGAAAGAAGCUGGGAAAGCCACCAGGAACCAACGGGAAGACCGUCCGGGCGAGAAGAUGACAAAGCCACAUAUUAGCAGAGCUCAGAGGAUUAGGGCAGGCCUGGGAGGCCAUGGAAGCCGUGUUGCAAUCUUGGCAUAACCACGUCUACACUGCCCGCCCACCAGCCUUCCAGACAGAGCCUGGGAGGAGAAGUGGUUACCCCAGCUGCGUCCUGUGCCCUGGACGAGGAGCCUGGGGUCCCUGUCACUCUCUGCUGAACUGCCUUGAUUCUGAUCCCAGCCGGCUCCCAGAGGGCAGAAACCAACAGGAGCCCAGCCAGCACCUGGGACAGGUAAGUGCUUGGCUUUGCCCAGAGAGGUAAACUUUGCAGUCCCCAAGCUGAAGCCCUGGAGGUCUGGCCUGGACGGGGUCUCUGCCAGGCUGGUGACCUGCCAAGCCUAGAUGGUGACCCACUGGUCUCUCUGGGACUGGAAGUAGCCCCGUGUGCCUCUCGUCCGAGGCCCUUGGCUGUGGGGCCAGCCUCUUCCCCCGCCGGCUUAGCCACUGCCAGUCUCUCCUCUGGGCUCCUGCUCCACGGUCUGCGAGGCAGCCAGGAGUUGGCGGGGAGCCUAGAACCCAUUUCCAGAAGAGCAGACUGAGUCCCUAGAUAUGAUGUCCGAGAGAGAGGCCUGGUGUCCGGUCCCACUUCUCCAGCCAAGUGGGUCCAUGAGCUCGGGCAGAGACUAUACCCCAGGUCUUCCACGCUGGGCCAAAUGGCGCCUUCCAGCUCCUGGUCACCUGAAAGAAUCAAAGGCUCGCAGCUCAGAGAGGGGUAGAAACCCGUGCAGAGUCACUGGAAAUUUGGAAGCAGAGUUGGAACUGGAACCUGGUUCUUCUGCCUCCCCGGCGCCUUGUUUGUUCCUCAGUUUCCCUCGGGGAAGCAUUCAAGGACUGGGGUUUGGAUGGGGGAACACAGAGCUCCUCUUUGGGUCUCAGUUUCCCCUGAUGUCAAACAGGAGGGCUGACAACCCCAGCCCACGGAACUCAGUCCGUCUGUGGCUGAGUUUUUACCAGUCUGCAGAGAAACGAUAAAAGAAAAAGUGCAGUCCAGAGAGUGACCUUUCCAUAAAGUGAAAUAUCUUCAUCUGGGAAAGUUGAGUCCGGGUCCCACCUAUUUUUGUCGCCAUUAAUGUGUCGUUUCUUCUCUGAAGCAGCGGGGAGGGUGAAGGACGGGUUUCACUUUGCGAUGUCCUUACUUGGCAAACGGAGAAUGGUGGCAACUCCAUGGCAAGUCUCAAAACUCUUUUGGGAAUGUAAUUGGUUCAUGAAAUCCCCAAACGUGAUGUUGACUGAGUUAAAAAGGUCUCUAGGGCUGCUUUGAGUUCAGGGAGGGCCCGGGCGGGCACCGGCGGGCUGAGGGGGGGUGGAUUUGGGGGAGGCAGGCGUGGAGGCAAGGGACCCGCUGUGAGAGCUGGGGGGCUACGCAGGGAGCAAGGCAUCUGCACGCAGUAGGUGCUCAGCUGGGGCAAUCGGCUGGAAUGAUUGCCUUGUGCAGGCGGGACUCAUGAUCCAGGAGAGAGGCUUGGCUGGAAGGGGCUGCGUGGGGAGGAGCUGGGAGAGGGGUAUCAGGGUCUCUGUGGAGGUGGGGUACAUAGAGGACAAGAAGGAGUCACAGAACAUUCUAAGAGGCCCUGUAGUGGGUUCUGAUCUGGAUACCUGCCUUAGACGGGGUUUGCCAGGAGCCGAGCCUGAGGCCGUGAUUUGGUGCACAUAGCGUGCCCUCGGGCAGGGGCAGGGUUAGGGUGAGAUGAGCCAGACACGAACAUGCAAGGGUAGAGUGGGAGCCUACCUUUAUUUGAAGUGCUGACAUUGAACUCAUCAUGCAUUGCUUUUGCAUUCAUUUUGAUUUUUUUUUUUAAAAUAUUCCGUUACAUUAUUAUCUGUCCGGGUUAGUGAGAUUUUUGGCACCUUGCCCCUGAAUCUGCACACAAGGCAGGUGCCCCCCCUGGCCUGGUCUCAGCUCUGCUCUCAGGAGAAGGGGAGGGAGGGGGAGGCAGCUGAGCGAGGGUGUGGCCUCAGCCCUGUCCCAAGGCGGGGACCUGGAAUGUGAAUUGUGCCAGUGCGGUUGGUCAGGGAGAGGUGGGAGAAGAGGGCAGCUGAGAGCUGUUAGCAUCUGACAUCCUCUGCCGCUGGGGGGACAGGUGCCCCUGCCAGUAAAGGAGACCCGGACUCGGCCCCAGUAACAUCCACGGCAAUACCCUUGGCUGUUCUUCGAGAGAGGGGAAUGCAAAUUUAAAUGAUUCCCCAGCGCUUUUGGCUACUGGACUGCGUUUCAUUGAUUACGACUGCUCUGGAGCUUCCCAAGUCCAGCCACUAUUCCCCUCCCAGGAUGAAUGAAGACGCAGGAAGAGGGCGGGGCCAGUGUGGUUGUGGGCGUGGCCUGAGGGCCUCAGUUUCUCCCAGGCUGCUGGCUCCUGCCCCAGUGGGUCGGAGCUGGGGAGAGGAAGGGCAAAGUGGAGCAGAUGUCUGUGAUUAUGGCCAAGGAGGGAGAAGCAGAGGGAGGAGGAAGAAGAAGGAAGGAGGGGGCUUUGCCUCCCGGGUAACGAGGCGUGUGCCAGGCUCUCGGGAGACGGGCUGGCUCUCGGGGCUCCUUUCCUCACCUG